AGCAAAAAUGAUGAGCUCUUUUGAUCCGAAUUUAUUUAUGUGGAAUCACAUUUUGUUAAUGGUCUUCGAAGUUCUCUGAUCGCU
rfam:Populus trichocarpa isolate Nisqually-1 chromosome 10, whole genome shotgun sequence.